CCUGACGGCGCCAUGUUCCCUCGUUUCUUCACGCUUCCCUCAUCUGCAGGUGGCCUUCUUGAGUCCGAAGAGAAGCAACGAAGUUGGACUAAAUGGAUGGAAACAGAGAUGCCUCAUGAAGUCAAGCCUGGUGGAAAGGAAACAAGACCAGGAGACUUGUGACAAAAAUUGAUGCUCAAGUUUAGGUCAUGGAAUUUGAGGUUCGUCAUACAGUGAAAACCAAACAUUAACCCUGUGAAAGUAAUUGUUUUAGCAAUAUGCUCUUGCAAAUGUAACUCUUGGAAUAUUAGAUCGCUUCAACUCAUCGUCAUUGCUUAAA